rnacentral:tRNA from 1 species
GGGCCUGUAGCUCAGUUGGUUAGAGCUAUCCGCUCAUAACGGAUCGGUCGUAGGUUCAAGUCCUACCGGGCCCACCA